GACUGGGUUGGGCUGGAAAGUUUCCUUGAAGGAAGGGGAAAGGGAUUUGGCCAGCAGGGAACGGCGAAACUGGAGGAGGAGCCACCCUCCGUCCUGGUUUUGCUUUGGACUAGCGGAUGCUCAGAGUGGUUUCGGGCUGGCGAGGGCUGCGGCUCCUCUCCAGGAUGUGUUUCACCGUCUGCCGGAGGCUGCCAAGCUGCAGUACCGGCAUCGCCGGCGGACACUUCUCCCGGCUGGCCCAGCUCUGCUGUGCUGUGGAUCGGCGCGGGAUGGGGACCGCCGAGCUGCCGGGAAGGAGGCUUUAACCUGAGCUCACGCCGCUGGAAUUCCCCGCUGCGCCUGGGAGAGGCUCCUCGCCUCCAAUCGCUUCCAGAUGCUGUUCCUGUUUCAACUCUUCCCCUCGCAAAAUGUCUCCCCCAGCUCGCCGGCAGCCUCGCCGAAGUUUUCCCGGCCGG
rnacentral:lncRNA from 1 species